GCAAACCCCACCUGGAGCAAAACCAAAUAGGGGGACGUUUGAGGGCGGCCCGUCCGAGGUUCCCGGGUUGGUUGCUAGAGGCGUCAAGCAAUUGACGUCGUAGAGGAAUGACCAUCACCCGCCUCAGGCGGGUAACAGAACUCGGCUUACAGCCUACUCUAACUU
rnacentral:RNase_P_RNA from 1 species